rnacentral:rRNA from 1 species
AGGAUGAAAGACGGUUUCGGCUGUCACUUACAGAUGGACCCGCGGCGCAUUAGCUAGUUGGUGGGGUAAUGGCUCACCAAGGCGACGAUGCGUAGCCGACCUGAGAGGGUGAUCGGCCACACUGGGACUGAGACACGGCCCAGACUCCUACGGGAGGCAGCAGUAGGGAAUCUUCCGCAAUGGACGAAAGUCUGACGGAGCAACGCCGCGUGAGUGAUGAAGGUUUUCGGAUCGUAAAGCUCUGUUGUUAGGGAAGAACAAGUGCGAGAGUAACUGCUCGCACCUUGACGGUACCUAACCAGAAAGCCACGGCUAACUACGUGCCAGCAGCCGCGGUAAUACGUAGGUGGCAAGCGUUGUCCGGAAUUAUUGGGCGUAAAGGGCUCGCAGGCGGUUUCUUAAGUCUGAUGUGAAAGCCCCCGGCUCAACCGGGGAGGGUCAUUGGAAACUGGGAAACUUGAGUGCAGAAGAGGAGAGUGGAAUUCCACGUGUAGCGGUGAAAUGCGUAGAGAUGUGGAGGAACACCAGUGGCGAAGGCGACUCUCUGGUCUGUAACUGACGCUGAG